rnacentral:lncRNA from 1 species
AAGUGGGACAGAUGGAAGAAAGAAAGUGGCGACUGUUUAUCCCUCACUCCUCUUCUCCAGCCCCCACCCCAGUAACAAAUCCAGAAACCCCAAACUCUGAGGGGCCACAGUUACUGUUUUGUGUGUUUGUGCAAUUGGGCAGCUGCCUCUACCCUAUCAAAACGUGCAGGGGAGACGAUUCCCAUAAAAGCGGAGGAAGAUGUUACAAGUCCAGCCCCAUGGGACCAUGCCUGACGGCAGAGCCAAGACGCUGGGAGUUCAGCACAAUAGGGUGCCUCCACACCACGCUAUCUGGGGUGAGCUUUCUGCCCAAAGGAGGAAAUAAGAACAGCUGCUAUCAAUUGCAGACCACUCACCAGGGGCCAGACACCAUGCUAAAUGCUUUAGUUGCAUUAUCUCCUUAACUCUUGAUACCACCACUACCCACGCCCUCCAGGGAGCUAUAAUUCUCUCUAAUAAAGGCAGAGAGCAGUGAAGUGACUUGGUCCAGUUAACACAGAUAGCAAGAAGAGGAGGGAAGAUGCUUAUCAGAGCCUUCAGGGAAAAGCAAAACUGUCCUGUAGAAGCACCAGGAAGAUGUCCAACAGUGCUGUAGCUGAAACCUGGGAGAUGGGGACUAAGCUGGGAAGCUGGACUGCCCUGAUUGAGUGUUGAUCUUCACCCUUGAUGGAGAGAGCCAUAUUCUUAGUUGGCCCUCAGCUUCAUGGCUAAACACUGUGGGUUAAGCAUCCAGGGUUUGUUAAGGAGAAAUGCUUUGUACCUGUUUUUGAUAUUUCCUUCCAUGUGAUGUGUGGCUUUCCUGAUUUGCAUUUCCUCACAGGAGGGUUUCUUGGGGUACUUUUCCACAGACUCACAUUUUCCACCACAUUUUCCAACCUAGUCUUUGUGAAUAAUAAAUGUGGAGUUUUGAUUUUUCUUGCACCUCCAUUGUUUCUUUAUCUUAUUGAUCAAUUGAUUCUGAGUGCAAAGUAAAAAAAAAAAAUGGUGUUUUUUAACGCCCAAAAGACCAUCAUCUUCAAACUGCAUGUAGUUCACAAGGUCUAUUUCAGGUGCUUACACUAACAUAUGUACCUAUGAGAAUUAUAUUAAUAUAGUACACAAUGUAUAAUAAGUACAUAUAUACAUGAAAUUACAAAUAUAUAAGUCUAUAUAAA